UACGAAGGGGGCUAGCGUUGCUCGGAAUCACUGGGCGUAAAGGGUGCGUAGGCGGGUCUUAAGUCAGGGGUGAAAUCCUGGAGCUCAACUCCAGAACUGCCUUUGAUACUGAAGAUCUUGAGUCCGGGAGAGGUGAGUGGAACUGCGAGUGUAGAGGUGAAAUUCGUAGAUAUUCGCAAGAACACCAGUGGCGAAGGCGGCUCACUGGCCCGGUACUGACGCUGAGGCACGAAAGCGUGGGG
rnacentral:rRNA from 1 species